GUUCUACUCCCUCCGUUCGAAAUUACUUGUCUCAGAAAUGGAUAUAUCUAGAACUAAAAUACGUCUAGAUACAUCCAUUUCUGCAACAAGUAAUUUCGAACGGAGGGAGUAGUAU
rnacentral:pre_miRNA from 1 species